UACGUAGGGGGCAAGCGUUGUCCGGAUUUAUUGGGCGUAAAGAGCGUGUAGGCGGCUUUACAGGUCCGUUGUGAAAACUCGAGGCUCAACCUCGAGACGCCGGUGGAAACCGUAAAGCUAGAGUCCGGAAGAGGAGAGUGGAAUUCCUGGUGUAGCGGUGAAAUGCGCAGAUAUCGGGAAGAACACCCGUGGCGAAGGCGGUUCUCUGGGACGGUACUGACGCUGAGACGCGAAAGCGUGGGAGCGAACAGG
rnacentral:rRNA from 1 species